UUAAUCGCUAUGAUAAAGAAGAGUACAUUUUGCAAAGCUUUUAGAGAGUCUGUGAUGGUGAGAAGCAGAUAGUGGCGCAAUUUGGAAUGGGCUUUGGAGCAUCCGAACCGAAACAUCGUUUCCGAGAAAGGAAAUUUUAGAAGUAGGCUUCGGCGUUUUUCCUAACGUUAUAUAGGAAUCCAUAUCGCCUCAUAGGCUGUAUGGUCAUAAGUGAUUCUAAAUUUUAGAAUAAUUAGGGUGGUACCACGGUCCAUUCGUCCCUAUC
rnacentral:ncRNA from 1 species